rnacentral:rRNA from 1 species
GAUGAACGCUGGCGGCGUGCUUAACACAUGCAAGUCGAACGGAAAGGCCCAAGCUUGCUUGGGUACUCGAGUGGCGAACGGGUGAGUAACACGUGGGUGAUCUGCCCUGCACUUCGGGAUAAGCCUGGGAAACUGGGUCUAAUACCGGAUAGGGCCACAUUUUGGAUGGUGUGGUGGAAAGUUUUUCGGUGUGGGAUGAGCUCGCGGCCUAUCAGCUUGUUGGUGGGGUAAUGGCCUACCAAGGCGUCGACGGGUAGCCGGCCUGAGAGGGUGUACGGCCACAUUGGGACUGAGAUACGGCCCAGACUCCGACGGGAGGCAGCAGUGGGGAAUAUUGCACAAUGGGCGCAAGCCUGAUGCAGCGACGCCGCGGGGGGGAUGACGGCCUUCGGGUUGUAAACUCCUUUCGCUAGGGACGAAGCGUUAUGUGACGGUACCUGGAGAAGAAGCACCGGCUAACUACGUG